rnacentral:rRNA from 1 species
UACAGAGGGGGCAAGCGUUGUUCGGAAUUACUGGGCGUAAAGCGUGCGUAGGCGGUGGUCCAAGCCUGGUGUGAAAUCUCCCGGCUCAACUGGGAGGGUGCGCCGGAAACUGGGCCGCUGGAGUACGGGAGAGGCAAGCGGAAUUCCAGGUGUAGCGGUGAAAUGCGUAGAUAUCUGGAGGAACACCCGUGGUGCAGACGGCUUGCUGGACCGUGACUGACGCUGAGGCACGAAAGCGUGGGGAGCGAACAGG